CUUAGCUAUUGAUAACUGGUUUAAAUAUAGCAGCUUGUUGUCUUGUAGUUUCUAGUGUAGAAAAUAUCAAACUGUUUUCUAUCACUUAGAUAUGUGUAACAAAUGUUGUAGGUGUGAAACAAUAUUACAAGUGACCGAUGUAGUAAAUUCGAAUCAAAGUUACGCUUCGAUUUGACUCUCAGAUAUGAAGUGAACACCUCAAAU